rnacentral:rRNA from 1 species
UUCACGGGUUCGUGCCGUAGCUAACGCUUUAAGUACCCCGCCUGGGGAGUACGGCCGCAAGGCUAAAACUCAAAGGAAUUGACGGGGCCCCGCACAAGCGGCGGAGCAUGCGGAUUAAUUCGAUGCAACGCGUAGAACCUUACCUGGGUUUGACAUGGAUCGGGAGCGCUCAGAGAUGGGUGUGCCUCUUUUGGGGUCGGUUCACAGGUGGUGCAUGGCUGUCGUCAGCUCGUGUCGUGAGAUGUUGGGUUAAGUCCCGCAACGAGCGCAACCCUUGUUCACUGUUGCCAGCACGUUAUGGUGGGGACUCAGUGGAGACCGCCGGGGUCAACUCGGAGGAAGGUGGGGAUGACGUCAAGUCAUCAUGCCCCUUAUGUCCAGGGCUUCACGCAUGCUACAAUGGCUGGUACAGAGAGUGGCGAGCCUGUGAGGGUGAGCGAAUCUCGGAAAGCCGGUCUCAGUUCGGAUUGGGGUCUGCAACUCGACCUCAUGAAGUCGGAGUCGCUAGUAAUCGCAGAUCAGCAACGCUGCGGUGAA